UUGGAAUGAAUUUAAUAAAGGAUGUGAAGCAAAUGUUUAGUUGAGGUUGUCAUUUAGUUCUAUUUAGUUUUGUCACUAGGGACCUAUCUCUUAAGACCCCUU